rnacentral:rRNA from 1 species
AUUGAACGCUGGCGGCAGGCCUAACACAUGCAAGUCGAGCGAGCGGCGGACGGGUGAGUAAUGUCUGGGAAACUGCCUGAUGGAGGGGGAUAACUACUGGAACCGGUAGCUAAUCCCGCAUACCAUCAGAUGUGCCCAGAUGGGAUUAGCUAGUCGGGGGGGUAAUGGCUCACCUAGGCGACGAGCCCUAGCUGGUCUGAGAGGAUGACCAGCCACACGGGAACGGAGACACGGUCCAGACUCCUACGGGAGGCAGCAGUGGGGAAUAUUGCACAAUGGGCGAAAGCCUGAUGCAGCCAUGCCGCGUGUGUGAAGAAGGCCUUCGGGUUGUAAAGCACUUUCAGCGAGGAAGCGUUCCCGCAGAAAAGCACCGGCUAACUACGUGCCAGCAGCCGCGGUAAUAC